AUUGAACGCUGGCGGCAGGCCUAACACAUGCAAGUCGAGCGGGGUUUUCGGACCUAGCGGCGGACGGGUGAGUAAUGCGUAGGAAGCUGCCCGAUAGAGGGGGAUACCAGUUGGAAACGACUGUUAAUACCGCAUAAUGUCUACGGACCAAAGUGUGGGACCUUCGGGCCACAUGCUAUCGGAUGCGCCUACGUGGGAUUAGCUAGUUGGUGAGGUAAUGGCUCACCAAGGCGACGAUCUCUAGCUGGUUUGAGAGGAUGAUCAGCCACACUGGAGCUGAGACACGGUCCAGACUCCUACGGGAGGCAGCAGUGGGGAAUAUUGGACAAUGGGCGCAAGCCUGAUCCAGCCAUGCCGCGUGUGUGAAGAAGGCCUUCGGGUUGUAAAGCACUUUCAGCGAGGAGGAAGGGGUGUGUGUUAAUAGUACACACCUUUGACGUUACUCGCAGAAGAAGCACCGGCUAACUCCGUGCCAGCCGCCGCCGUAACAC
rnacentral:rRNA from 1 species